AUAAGUUGGCAUAAAAUUCCCAACUUAUGAAGGGCUGGAAAAAACUUAAGAAUAAGGUUAGCGACCUCUUACAAUAGCGAAUAAGCAUGUCAUCUGUUGUACAAAGAAAAUUCUCUCUUACCUUGUUACUGGUUUUUACCAAGUCAUUUCAACUGAUGAUGAUCUUCGGUUUCUUCCCGUUUCUCCUAGCUGUUAAUUCGUCUUCAUUAAAGGUGCUACAGAAGAGGAAUAAGGACGUAAACCAGGUGAACUAUAUGAUAGAAGAUUUCAACAAGUGUUGACAUUAGAAUCAGAUCAAGACUUGCUGGUAGGCUAUUUUAAUCAAUUGUUCAACUCUAAUCACGAGGUAACGUCACAGAUCUCCGUACAUGUUUGGACGGUAAAAAAUACGCUGACAGAAGUAACGGAUCCAUAAAAAUUAGAGGUUUAUAAAAGUUUGUGGCCAAGAUGGCAUCCACAUAUUGUUUUCAUGUAGAUGUUUGGAAGUGUCCUGAAAAGGUGAAAAGGUGUAAUAAUAUGGCUUACCAAGUUAUUUAAUGUUAUAUUAAAAGUCGUAGAAUGUCUCACAAGUGAAGAAAUAUCCAAUAUAUGAGAACUAACAAUAAAGAAGAUAUUCAAAAUCGUGUGUGAACUAUCACGAUAUUAAGCUUAUGAGUCAUACAAUGAAACUUUGGUAAAGAGUGAUAGAGCGUAGAUUUAAGACACCACAAGAGUGAUAGAGAACCAAUUUGGUUCUUUUGGUUUUGUGCCCAGUAGAACAGAGGCUAUGUUCUUGUUAAGAAGAUUAAUGUUUUUUUUGUCAAUGGGCAUGCGAAGAACAUGUUGGUUGAUGAGAAGCAACAAUUUGUGCUGCCAUUUGUCAGGUGUUUGUCAUGGUUGUGACUAUCACAUUCAGCAUGAGAACUGUAGCCGUUAUUUACUUUUAGUGAUUGGAGUGCUUAUUCACGAUACACUUGUUUCUCUUCUUCCCUGUAGUUCCUGAUAAGGGAGAAAUCACUUGGUCAAACUGCUGAAUUGUCCUCCUCUAAACACUACUCUCCAGCCUGUCAGAUCACAUGCAAAGGUCUGAUCUCUGGCUGAAAGAUACUUUAUUGGGAUGAAAAUUGUAAAAUAUCUUUCAGAUUACAUGGGGACGAAGCAUCUUGAUCAUGCGUAAUAAAUCUUGACAGAUAUCAAAUACGUGUGGCCUUUCAAAUUGAUUUGAAAGCAAUUAGUAUGAUUCCACCUGAGAAUAUUAUGGCUUUAAAAGGAAUUAGUCAAGCUUCUCAGAAGUUGUUUACAUGUCUUGUGAAGUUGUGUUCUGCGGGUAGUAAAUAUCGUCUCUUUUGCAUCGUAACGGUGAAUGCAUUAAAGAUACCUUGCUGGAUCUGCAGUUGCAGGAAUCUUUAAGGAUGUCAUGUUAAAAGUUUGAUACCAAAUAUGGAUUGGCAUGAGAAUCUGUAUCAUGUAACAGAUUAUCCAAGUUGUAAAAUGCUUAUCAGUGGAGCUUAUGAUGUGCCAGAUAAAAUGUCUCUUCUGCAUCCUAAAGCUGAAUGCGUUAUAACCUAUAUUAAUUUAAUCUUCUUUAGAUGUGAGAUAAUUUUUCGUCUGCAUCUCUGCUUCUUUUCCAUUCUCAUCUCUCUUUGAAGGGGAGCCUUGGAGCAACGGUAAAGUUGCUUUGUGUGACCUAUAAGUCACGGGUUCACACCGUGGAAGCAGCCACUAAUGCUUGCAUUAGGGUAGGCUGUCUACCUAACACCCCGUUGCGGCCCUUUUUUGGACCCUGCAUGAAUACGGGAUGCUUUGUGCAUCGGCGGCUCUUUUUUCC
rnacentral:lncRNA from 1 species